GACAACGCACACACCUGCAUUUGGAGUUGUACUUCUUUGCCUGCCUAGCCUACAUUACUUGAAGGAUGUGUUAGUCACGACAUACAUUCAGAAGGCGGUACCCACUUUGAAAAGGCAGCAUUAAUUGGUUUAAUUGCAGCGGCUAAUGAACUGGAAGUCUCGGCCAUAGGCUUACUUAUGCGUUGAAGAAUAAGAAAUUCACCUGAAAAUGUCAAACAUUUGGAUGGAAACCUAGCGUCAACCUAUUAAGUGAAUGCUUUUCCAACUGGGUCAAGUGUCAAGUCUGCAGCACAGGGCGUGGCCGUCGCCUCAUCAGCCACUCCCAACCUCGUCUAAGCCCCUCCCCUAUUCGCUGUCAGACAUAGGCCGAUUCGCUAGACUGGGUGCGGCCCAGGUUGGGCACUGAG